GGCCAGGUGGGUGUAGUAGUUGCGCGUUGGACUACGACUCUGGAGACCAGGGUUCGAAUCCCCGAUCGGCCA